GGGAAUGUGGCUUAGUGGUAGAGUGCUUGCCUAGCAUGCAUGAAACCUGGGGUUUGAUUCCUCAAUACCA
rnacentral:tRNA from 1 species